rnacentral:rRNA from 1 species
UACGGAGGGAGCUAGCGUUAUUCGGAAUUACUGGGCGUAAAGCGCACGUAGGCGGCUUUGUAAGUAAGAGGUGAAAGCCCAGAGCUCAACUCUGGAAUUGCCUUUUAGACUGCAUCGCUUGAAUCAUGGAGAGGUCAGUGGAAUUCCGAGUGUAGAGGUGAAAUUCGUGAGAUAUUCGGAAGAACACCAGUGGCGAAGGCGGCUGACUGGACAUGUAUUGACGCUGAGGUGCGAAAGCGUGGGGAGCAAACAGG